UACGUAGGGGGUGAGCGUUGUCCGGAUUUAUUGGGCGUAAAGAGCUCGUAGGCGGCUUGGCAAGUCGGGUGUGAAACCUCCAGGCUCAACCUGGAGACGCCACUCGAUACUGCCAUGGCUAGAGUCCGGUAGGGGACCACGGAAUUCCUGGUGUAGCGGUGAAAUGCGCAGAUAUCAGGAGGAACACCGGUGGCGAAGGCGGUGGUCUGGGCCGGCACUGACGCUGAGGAGCGAAAGCGUGGGUAGCAAACAGG
rnacentral:rRNA from 1 species